CGGUCACAGGCCACGCCUGUGUGCCCUACUUCUCACUAUUCCAGGGGGACAUCAGGGCCCUCCAGGCCCACCGAUGGCACAGCUCUGCCCCGAGGGUGGCCUCCAGCUGCAAUGAAGUCUCUACUUGGGGUUUCUAUCCCAGUGGCCCCACAUCUAACCCAGAGUCACCCAGACUUUUCCUGCCAAAGCAAGUCUCAAAUGGGCCUCCGGGUAACACAAGGGCCCCUUCUGAUGAAGAGAAGCUAAGGCUCAGAGAGACACGGUACCAGUGAGGAGCUGAGGUACAUUCUGGGCCGUCGCUUUCCAUCACGGAAAGCUCGGGGGAGGCUCAGGCAUUUAGGUGAGUGAUCUUACACAGAAAAGAAGAAACAUUUCAGAAGUGACUGAAUCCACGGCGGUGAGUGGCCUGGGCGUAUCCGUAAGAACAGCCGCCUUUGAAAGAAUCAGAGUGCUGAUUCUUGAACACGCCUGGACAGGGCCCUGGGGGGGAGGGGCCUGGUUCUCAAAGGGGAAUCCUGAGGACUCACCAGCAAUGCCGAUUCCCAGGCCCCAUCCCUGGACCUGCUGCACCUGAGACUCUGUGGGUGGGGCCAGCGAUCGGCGGGGAUUUCACACGGACUCUUAUCGGUUCUGCUCCACACUCCAGCUUGCCAAGCACAGAGCUGGAGAAAAGCACAGUGGUAACCACAACCCCCCCCCCCCCCGUCCCUAUGCUGGGGCGAGUCCAGGAGCCGAUGAGGCCCCAGACCCCCUUCCCGCUAGCCCCGGCCUGCGGGAGUCAGGAAUCACGGUGGCGGUGAUGGUGGCGGUAAAGGGGAAGAUGGAGACAGUAGUCAGCUGUCGCCACCGUGACCAUUCACUGAGCCCUUCCUAGUUGCGUCUCCAUUCAUUCCUUACCCGCGAGAUUUGCCUCGAUGUUACAUUCGUCCUACAGGUGAGCGCACCGAGGACUGAAGAGACUGCGGUUCCCUCUGGGGUCCCAUAGUGUCAUCCAAGUUAUCCCGUUAAGUGUGUGCAAAGCAAAAGCAAGCAAUUGCUCAAUGCGACGUCGUCAGUAGCUCCCAAGUAUUCGCGACGUGUAAGAUUCUAAGGGCAAGCGCCAGAUGAAAAGAAGAUUCUCCUCUCCUUCCCGCCCCCGAGUCACUUACAGCACAGACGCUCUGCGUCCCACAGGCAGGCGCAUCCUUAAGAGAACUGACCCCCGUGGGGCGCCUGGGUGGCACAUUCGGUUGAGCGUCCGGCUCUCGGCUUCGACUCAGGUUCAUGAGAUCGAGCCCCGCAUGGGGCUCCGCGCUGACAGCGCUGAACCUGCUUGGGAAUUUUCCCUCUCUCUCCCUCUCUUUCGGUCUCC